GGGGCUGAACUAGCUUUCGACGUUUGGACUUUAACACAAUGUUUUGCAAGUCGAUUUUGCACGAUACGCAAACUUAUAGAUGCAACAACAUCUCUAAAAGAUCGUUUUGUAGCUUUCCUUGAUUCAUUCAAGGUUGCUCAAACGGUCGCAAUCGCUGCUUAGUUGCCUGCGACAUCCUCUGCUUGAGGCGACAUACAAGCCAGAGGGUGCCAUUUUUAUGUCGCUUGUUGUUAUGUAGGGCAGCAGCUACAGACAAGACCACUUCUGCGUAACGAGAUUAAGUUUUUCGAUCAUUUUUUAUCGUAAUUUCGUUAUAAAAACUUAAACUGAUCUAUGCUUGUAGACGAACAUUAUGUUACCAUUCGGACCCGGGGGCAGUACCCGGCAGCUCCACCA
rnacentral:tmRNA from 1 species